GCUGGUGUGGCGAAAUCGGUAAACGCAGAGGUCCCUCAAAUCUCUGGGCGAAAGCCCUUGUGGGUUCGAAUCCCACCACCAGCA
rnacentral:tRNA from 1 species